rnacentral:rRNA from 1 species
UACAGAGGGGGCAAGCGUUGUUCGGAAUUACUGGGCGUAAAGGGCGCGUAGGCGGCCUGUUAAGUCGAACGUGAAAUCCCCGGGCUCAACCCGGGAACUGCGUCCGAUACUGGUCAUCUUGAGUGAGGUAGGGGCGUGCGGAACUGAUGGUGGAGCGGUGAAAUGUGUUGAUAUCAUCAGGAACUCCGGUGGCGAAAGCGGCGCGCUGGACCUUAACUGACGCUGAGGCGCGAAAGCCAGGGGAGCGGAACGGG